ACAAGCGGUGGAGUAUGUGGUUUAAUUCGAUGAUACGCGAGAAACCUUUACCUGGUCUUGACAUGUUAGGAACCCUUAAGAGAUUAGGGGUGCCUGCUUGCAGGAGCCUAAACACAGGUGGUGCAUGGUUGUCGUCAGCUCGUGUCGUGAGAUGUUGGGUUAAGUCCCGCAACGAGCGCAACCCUUGUUGCUAGUUACCAGCACGUAAUGGUGGGAACUCUAGCGAGACUGCCGGUGACAAACCGGAGGAAGGUGGGAUGACGUCAAAUCAUCACGCCCCUUACGACCAGGGCCACACACGUACUACAAUGCCCGGUACAGCGAGUUGCGAAGCUGCGAAGCAGAGCUAAUCUCUUAAAACCGGGCCAAGUUCAGAUCGGAGGCUGCAAUUCGCCUCCGUGAAGCUGGAAUCGCUAGUAAACGCAGAUCAUCAUGCUGCGUUGAAUACGUUCUCGGGCCUU
rnacentral:rRNA from 1 species